rnacentral:tRNA from 3 species
ACUCAAAUAGCUUAGAAUAGAGCAUUACACUGAAGAUGUAAGGGGAACAGUAUAUGUUUUUGGGUG